AAUUACCCACCUCAGAAACAAUGAUACCUUUGCACAAAGUUUGACUUCCGCAAAAUGAGAUGACUUCAAGGGAGUGGUGCAACUAUUGAAUUCUAAAUUUUGAGUUUAUGUAAGUUAUUGGAGUUUGUGUACAAACUGUAAAAGAUAUUUUUGGAGAACGCGCUUUUCUAUACUUUGAAUUGAAGGAAAAAAGUAUUAUGUUAAUAGGUAAUUUUCAUGCAUGAGACUCUUUUCUCCAACAAACGCUAUCCACCAAAUAUAUUUUAGUUUAUCGAGAAGUCUGUUGUUAGGUGAGAGAAAAAUAUGAUAUUUUCAAGGUUCUAAGUGGAAUAUUACUUUUAUUUUGACAUUGGUUUAAUGUGUAACAUUUUGGAUAAAUCUAUAAAAAUAUCAUGAGAAAAUUUUUAUAAAAGGAUAUUUUGCUUUGUCAAUUAAUUAGCAGAUUAACUUAGGACCUUUGUAGUAUCUUUCACUAGAGAGUUUUUGCAUAUAUAUUAAUUAUCUAUUCAAUUAGCGAAAGAGAUUUUCAUACUAUAUGAUUCUGCAGAGGUCCCCUACAAUUUAUUUUUUUAAUUAUUACUUUGUUGACUCUGAUAGUCAAUCCGAAUAUCCAUUUCACAUGACUUAUUUACAUUAAACAUUUUAAAUUUAUACGAAAAACAGUUAUAUGAAUACAAUGUACAACCACUACUAAUUAAUAUUUGAAAGAUGUUGAGCAAUCAUGCCUCAUUGAAGUGUGGAGGUGUAUAUGUGCAGAAGUUUAUGUUCCUUGCUCCACACAUUAUCCUUAUGCGCACCACUGGGACUCACAUUGAUUAAUAAAAACUUCGAAUGAUAAUGACUAAAUUAAAAAACGUUAUUGAGUUGUGUGGAGGGAGCGUGUACAAAGGAAGUUGUGCAUAGGUGGUUAUGCGAGGGAAGUUGUGCGAAGGUGGCUAUGUGGAGGAAGAGUGUGCGGAGAAUUGUGGAAAUAUUUGUGUGGGGAGAAUGAAUUAAUUCACACUAGAGGCAGGGACUAUGUUGCAUCACAACAAUUAUCCUUCUUAUUACUAUAUAUUAUUAGUAUUAUUUUAACAUGAAGGAAGUGGUUAAUACGUAUAUGAGAAUUUCUAACUGACUAUAGUUAUUUUUCAUUCCAUUCUGUAGUACUAUCAGUGAUUGGCCCUUCUCAUAUAUAGGGGUUUUUAUUUCUAUUUAUUUGCCUGAAGUAUAGUUAAAAAUGAAAUUCCCUUCCCUUUCUAUUUUCCACACACACUUCCAGAGUUUGUGCCUUACUAGUCGUUGUUUAUGGAGAUGGCCUACCAAAUGGAUCUCAUGUUUAAAGUGGUAGAAUUUAGCAAUAAAUAUUUUGUUUCCCUAUCCUCUAUAGUGGGUUAUGAGAGUUGGCCAUUAUGCCUUAGCCAACAAAGUACAUGCUCAAAAAGAAGCCUCCCAAAUACAUAUGAUGUACAAAUCUGGAAUGGUAAAAGGGAUAUUGUAUGACCAAGGAAGUUCGUUGAGCAUGCUUCAAACAAGUUGGUUGGCCAUAUGCUCAUGAAUUCGAUGAUUAGGAAGAUCAAAUGUAUGUAAGAGUGGAUAAUUGGGAACACAUUAAGGAAAAAAUUGUUAAAGAAUGGGCUGAGAAAGCUAUUAUGUCCUCCAUGCUAUGUUCUAGCUCUUCACAAAUAUAGUGUAGGAGGUCGCAGUGACCAGGCUCGGGUGAUUUUUUAACAAAAACACAGGUCUCCGCAAAGUCAUAAGACCAUGUGUGGGGGUUGACGCCUGCCCAGUGCCAAAAGGUUAACAAAGUUGGUGAAUUGAUGACGGGGAAGCCAACGACCGAAGCGUCGGUGAAUGAUGGUCGUAACUAUAAUGGUCCUAAGGUAGCGAAAUUCCUUGUCGGGUAAGCUCUGACCCACAAGAAAGGUGUAACGAUCUGGGCACUCUCUCGGAGAGAGACUUGAUGAAAUAGACAUGUCUAUGAAGAUGCAGACUACCUACACCUAGACAAAAAGACCCUAUGAAGCUUUACUAUUCCCUGGGAUUGUCUUUUUGUUCUUCUUGUGCAGCUUAGGUGGAGGGAAAAGAAGGCCCCCUUCUAGGGGGCUUGAGCCACCAGUGAGAUACCACUGUGGAAGAGCUAGAAUUAUAAUCGUGUGUCAAGACCUAUGGGCCAAGGGACAGUCUUAAGUAGAUAGUUUCUAUGGGGCGUAGGAGUCCCAAAAGGUAAUAGAGGCAUGCAAGUGUUUCCUCAGGUGGGACGGAAAUCGACCCUUGAGUGAAAAGGUAGAAGGGAGCUUGACUACAAGACCCACCCGUUGAGCAGGGACAAAAGUUAGCCUUAGUGGUCCAACAGUGCCGAGUGGAAGGGCCGUCGCUCAACGGAUAAAAGGUUACUCUAGGGAUAACAUGUUGAUCUUCCCCAAUAUUUCACAUCGAUGGGAAGGUUUGGUACCUCGACGUCGGAUCUUCGCCACCUGGGGCAGUAGUACGUUCUAAGGGUUGGGUUUUUUUCCCAUUAAAGUGGUACAUGAGUUGGGUUCAAAACGUCAUGAGACAGUUCGGUCCAUAUCUAGUGAGGGUGUUAGAGCAUUGAUAGGACCUUUCCCUACUACCAGAGGACCGAGAAGGAUGCACCAAUGGUGUACCAAUUAUCAUGCCCACGAUAGAUGCUGGGUAGUGAAGUGCAGAGUGGAUAACUACUAAAAGCAUAUAAGUAGAAAGCCCACUCCAAGAUGAGCAUUAUCCUAUUCUUACUUCCUUAAGAGACCCUAUUCACGAACACGACUACGAAAAUAUAUCUAAGGAGCUAGGUGAGGAACAUAAAAUUAUUAUGGGUUUUGGGCCAGUAGGCCCAGGCAAUAUCAACUACUAUGGCUAUGGCU
rnacentral:rRNA from 1 species